rnacentral:sRNA from 1 species
AUGACUGCAAACAGAAAGGUGGAGCAGCUACAACAAGAAUACACGGAAAUGAAGGCUCUCUUGGACGCCUCAGAGACCACCUCGACAAGGAAGAUAAAGGAAGAGGAGAAGAGGGUCAACAGCAAGUUUGACACCAUUUAUCAGAUUCUCCUCAAGAAGAAGAGUGAGAUCCAGACCCUGAAGGAGGAGAUUGAACAGAGCCUGACCAAGAGGGAUGAGUUCGAGUUUCUGGAGAAAGCAUCAAAACUGCGAGGAAUCUCAACAAAGCCAGUCUACAUCCCUGAGGUGGAACUGAACCACAAGCUGAUAAAAGGCAUCGGCCAGAGCACCAUAGACCUCAAAAACGAGCUGAAGCAGUGCAUCGGGCGGCUCCAGGAGCCCACCCCCAGUUCAGGUGACCCUGGAGAGCAUGACCCAGCGUCCACACACAAAUCCACACGCCCUGUGAAGAAGGUCUCCAGUAAGUAGCCCCACCCCUGUCUCCAUGGCAACAGCAUGGCUGUGGCCUCCCCAGGCUCUGGCCAAGUCACUUCCGGCCCAUCCCGAGUCACUGUGGGGCCUGGACCUCAGUGGGAAAGAAGUUGGCGGCAAUCCCCAGCCGUGGGGGGCUGUAGG